rnacentral:rRNA from 1 species
UACGUAGGGGGCAAGCGUUGUCCGGAAUCAUUGGGCGUAAAGCGCGUGUAGGCGGCUUGGCAAGUCUGGUGUGAAAUCUUGGGGCUCAACCCCAAGCGUGCACUGGAAACUGCCUCGCUAGAGUCCGGGAGAGGAGAGCAGAACUCCCAGUGUAGCGGUGAAAUGCGCAGAUAUUGGGAAGAACACCGAUGGCGAAGGCAGCUCUCUGGAACGGUACUGACGCUGAGACGCGAAAGCGUGGGGAGCGAACAGGAUUAGAUACCCUGGUAGUCCACGCCGUAAACGAUGGGCACUAGAUGUGGGCGGUGUCGACUCCGCCCGUGUCGAAGCUAACGCAUUAAGUGCCCCGCCUGGGGAGUACGGCCGCAAGGCUA